ACAGCAGCAGCCGCGGGAAUACGGAGGGUGCAAGCGUUAAUCGGAACUACUGGGCGUAAAACGCACGCAGGCGGUUUGUUAAGUCAGAUGUGAAAUCCCCGAGCUUAACUUGGGAACUGCAUUUGAAACUGGCAAGCUAGAGUCUUGUAGAGGGGGGUAGAAUUCCAGGUGUAGCGGUGAAAUGCGUAGAGAUCUGGAGGAAUACCGGUGGCGAAGGCGGCCCCCUGGACAAAGACUGACGCUCAGGUGCGAAAGCGUGGGGAGCAAACAGGAUUAGAUACCCCAGUAGUCCCUGUCUCUUAUAA
rnacentral:rRNA from 1 species